AUGUGUAGACGUUACUCCACACGCCCAAAAAAAGAUGUAAAAGGAAUGCAAUACAGUUGGGAACCCAUGGCAAUGUCAAAUGUGCUCUGCAACUCCAGGCUCCUGAACCCCAAUCCCCCAAGCCCUUCAACAGGGACUUCAACACCCCCUUGGCUUCAAAGACCUGACACCUGGCACUGUCAUUUCACACUCAGCACAGGCCCAAACCAAGGCAAAUUUUCCAAGAAAGGCAGACUGAUCGGUCAUUCCCACUCUCACAAUAAUCAAUCCCGCAAAAACAACAGGAAAGAAACCCAAGGAAAGAGCACAGAAGCAGGGUUCCCCUACAUGCACAAACACACCUGCAAACACAAAUAAGCACAUGUGCACACACUGUAAACUCACAAACAUCCAAGUAUGCAUCUAAUUACAGAGACAUGAGCAUCCAAUCGCAUAAUGUUCACAUAAUGCAGAAAUACACAAAANNCUGUGGGCACCGAGAUGUACCAGUAUUUAUCUAUACAUGAUCACAUAUGCACCUGAGUUUUUUGGGACACCUACAUAUCUGGUUGUAUGAGUAUAGCUGCAUACAUACAUACUACAGAAGAGAAGGAAAAAAUGGGGAGAACAGAAUUUACCAUUAAAAAAUACUGGACCAAAGGAAGACUAGAAGGGACCUCCCCUUUCUCUUUCUAGUCCCUGAAUGGUGGGACCCAGUGGCUACCCAGGAAGGAUGGGCCUCAGGGUCUGGGACAAGUGUCCAGACAUUUCCCUCUUGGAAAUCUGGGGGUUCUGGGGGCCCAGGGGGCUGGUGUUUGUGCCCCCCCUGUCAGAAAGCAAGCCAGGCUUUGUUGGGAUUGUGAAAGGAACCUCACUUAUUAGAUUUGGGGCAGGGUCAAGGCAGGCCUGUGUGCGUGUCGAGAUCUUCGCCCCAGAGCAAUCCCUGUAGCUGACCGAGGGGCUGUGGCUCCACAUAGCUUCUCCGCAUGCAGGCCUCCUCUCCGGACUUCGCCCACCAUGAGUCCUGCCAGGCUCCUAUGCCGCCCUCGACCAGCCGUCUAGACAACCGAAUCACUUCUCCAUUGGAAGAGCAGUGAAGUCCAGACAGGCCGAAGUGGCCCUCGCUCAGGAUUCCAGGCAGCCCCUCACCUCUGCCAUGCCCCAGGAAGUCCUUUUGCUUCUAAAGGAGAAAACCUCCAGCAAGACUCGCAUCAGAAAAAGAGACAGAAAAGAAAAGAAGGAAGC
rnacentral:lncRNA from 1 species